CUACGGGUCGCAGCAGUGGGGAAUCUUGCGCAAUGGGCGAAAGCCUGACGCAGCAACGCCGCGUGAGUGAUGAAGGCCUUCGGGUCGUAAAGCUCUGUCAGGAGGGAAGAAUAAAUGACGGUACCUCCAAAGGAAGCACCGGCUAACUCCGUGCCAGCAGCCGCGGUAAUACGGAGGGUGCAAACGUUGCUCGGAAUCAUUGGGCGUAAAGCGCGCGUAGGCGGCCUAGUAAGUCUGAUGUGAAAGCCCAGGGCUCAACCCUGGAAAGCCAUUGGAAACUACUCGGCUUGAGAGCAGGAGGGGCAGGUGGAAUUCCUGGUGUAGGAGUGAAAUCCGUAGAGAUCAGGAGGAAUACCGGUGGCGAAGGCGACCUGCUGGACUGUAUCUGACGCUGAGGCGCGAAAGCGUGGGGAGCAAACAGGAUUAGAUACCCGAGUAGUC
rnacentral:rRNA from 1 species